UGUAACCACAGUUUUACACUGUCUAUAUCUAAUGUUUAACUGUCCGUCUUAUUUAAUUUUUUUUAAGAUUAGUUAUUUUAUGGGUAUAGAUGAUAAAACUUGAAUAAUAAUUUAUAUGUGACUAUUUUUUUAAUUUUUUUAUAAUUUUAAAUAAAAUAGACGUUUAAACGUUAGACACACAUCUGUACUUAAA
rnacentral:pre_miRNA from 1 species